rnacentral:rRNA from 1 species
GUCUACGGCUACACCACCCUGAACGUGCCUGAUCUCGGAAGCUAAGCAGGGUCCGGCCUGGUUAGUACUUGGAUGGGAGACUGCCUGGAAAUACCAGGUGCUGUAGGCU